UGUAAUGUGUGCAACACUGCUUUAAACUCCCAUACUUAAUGAAAGGUUUCCACCCUGCUGGGUUAGGCCUGAAGAAGACCAGCAGAGUCUAAAGCAGAGUUUAAAGCAGAGUUUAAAGCAGAGUUUAAAGCAGUGUUUAUUUUACUUUAUUAUUUUUCAUUUGUCCUGCAGAUGGUUCAGAGCUGCUUUGUGCUGCAGUAGAAGAAGAUGGGACAGUUUUAUUAGUGAGACUUUAUUCAGUUGAUGUUUCUAGAUUUGGAUCAUCAGCUGUCCUCAUCGGGUCAACACGAGGACAAGAAGCUGGACAUUGUUGACAUGUUGACUCUCAUGUUCAGGAACUCUUCAUGUUGGUAGAACUGGAUUGUUAAACAUCACUCACAGCUG